UUUAAAUGCAAAUAACACCACUAUAGUAAUCAAACUUGUCUUUUAGUACAUAUUAUCAAAAUAAGUGUCUAUCUACAACUGAAAUACACAGAGAAUCCACUCUGAGGAUACAGUAAAGGUCAAAUUGUUCUGUCAUGGCUGGGUGGGUCUUCAAAGUCGGGUGAUUUACUCAUGGGCCCCCGAGGAGCCUCCAGUCCAUCAGCCAGUGGCUCCACUUCCUGUCUGAACACAACCGACCCAGAACAUUCAUCUCAAGCACAGAAGAGCCACUUCACCCAUUCACAGAAGAUCAACUUGACCCUGAGCAGAGGACGCAACCCAAUUGUCUCAUCAGACAAAAGCAGCUUCUGUCGGGCAUACAGCAGUCGAUUGUGUCCGCGGUGCUCAUGUCUAUAGAGACUGUAAGAUCAUAUGUGCUGACAGGGCCACAGUAGGGACCUUUUAACGUCCAUCUCUGUAUUUUCCUCACUGUGUGUUUUACAAAAUGACCAGUCCACUGAAGAUAUGCACAUUAUUGGACCAGAUGACCUCUCCAUGCUGAAAGGGAAGAAUGUCUUGAUUGUGGAGGUGAGAUGGCAAUAGUGGACACAGGAAAGACCAUGAGAGCCCUUCUACAGCACAUGGAGACUUUCCAGCCCAAAUGGUGAAAGCCGAAGGGCUGCUGGUUUAAGAGGGUUCCUCACGGGGCAGUGGAGCUCCCAGACUAUGAUGGUUUUGUUAUUCCUAAUCGUUUCGUGGUGGGUUAUGCUCUGGACUACAAUGAGAGACCUCAAUCACAUCUGUGUCAUCAGUGAGAUGGGGAAACAGAAGCUCCUCUUUCAAGAGGAAUGGACAUUUACAUUACCAUAACAGAUGAAAAACUCGUUUUGCAAGAUUACUGUGAUCUCAAAUCAGAGAUAAAUCUGAUCUCUCAAAUCUGAUAUCUGUAACUGACAUGCCGAAUUAUGUUUGAAAUGUAAUAUAUUUUGCAUGAAUUGGGUAAAGUCACACAUCGCAGUACUAACGUGAUAUGAUGUGGAAAACAGACUUACUGUGUGCCAUUUUAUAUGCUGUAUAAAAGCCAAGCUGUUCAUUUUUGUCCUAUUUAGAAGAUAUUUGUUUGACAGACCAUCCAUGGCACUAUUUCACAUAAAAGAUGUUUACAUGUAGUACAAGAGACAAUAAUAGCUGAAUUUAUAAAAAUGACUCCGUUCAAAAGUUGACAUCUCCUUGAUUCUUAUUAAUGUGUUCUUACCUGAAUGUGAUAGUUGUUCAUAAGUCCCUUGUUUGUCCUGAACAGUUAAACUGCCUGCUGUUCUUCAGAAAAAUCCUUCAGGUCCCGAAAAUUAUUUGGUUUUCCAGCAUUUUUGUGUAUUUGAACCCUUCCAACAAUGACUAUGAUUUUGAGAUCCAUCUUUUCACACUGAGGGACUCAUAUGCAACUAUUACAGAAUGUCCAAAUGCUCAUUGAUGCUCCAGAAGGAAAAACCAUGCAUUAAGAGCUGGGGGGUGAAAACUUUUGAACAGAAUGGAGAUGUGUACAUUUUUCUUAUUAUUUCUUAUUUUGCCAAAAUAUCUAUAAUAUUUUUUUUUGAACCACCUUUUAGAGGCUACAAAAGAUUUAACUCACAACUUACAGAAUUUAAAGGAUCUGCUGCUAAUGGUGCUAGAAACAGGACAAAUUCGGAGGUCUUGUGGAGUCCAUGCCUUGACACAUCAAAGUUGUUUUAGAAGCACGAAAGGAACUUACACAAUAUAAGUGGUUUUAAUGUUGUAGCUGGUCAGUGGAUAAAAUUGAUUAAACCUUAUCUUUGCAAAAAAAGAAGGAAAAAAAAGAAAGAAACAGAGGAGUGUUACAGGUAAUGCUAUUGAAGAAUAUUAAUUAAGAAAACAAUGCCUUAUUUUCUUUGUAACUGAGUACUUAUGUCUUCUACAAAGGACACUAAAAAUCAUGUAUAUCUUAUGUUCAAAACAAUAUGACGACAAACAAAAUAAAUAACACAUGCCUUCAGCUUUUUUGUUGGGUUCCAGAAAGAUGUAUUUGCACACUACAAACUGGCGUUAAAUAAAG
ensembl:lncRNA